rnacentral:rRNA from 1 species
CCUACGGGUGGCUGCAGUGGGGAAUAUUGGACAAUGGGCGAAAGCCUGAUCCAGCCAUGCCGCGUGUGUGAAGAAGGCCUUCGGGUUGUAAAGCACUUUCAGUGGGGAAGAAAGCCUUGGGGCUAAUGCCCUCGAGGAAGGACAUCACCCACAGAAGAAGCACCGGCUAACUCCGUGCCAGCAGCCGCGGUAAUACGGAGGGUGCGAGCGUUAAUCGGAAUUACUGGGCGUAAAGCGCGCGUAGGCGGUCUGAUAAGCCGGUUGUGAAAGCCCCGGGCUCAACCUGGGAACGGCAUCCGGAACUGUCAGGCUAGAGUGCAGGAGAGGAAGGUAGAAUUCCCGGUGUAGCGGUGAAAUGCGUAGAGAUCGGGAGGAAUACCAGUGGCGAAGGCGGCCUUCUGGACUGACACUGACGCUGAGGUGCGAAAGCGUGGGUAGCAAACAGGAUUAGAUACCCCAGUAGUC